CCUUAACUCUGGGAUAAGCCUGGGAAACUGGGUCUAAUACCGGAUAGGAGCGUCCACCGCAUGGUGGGUGUUGGAAAGAUUUAUCGGUUUUGGAUGGACUCGCGGCCUAUCAGCUUGUUGGUGAGGUAAUGGCUCACCAAGGCGACGACGGGUAGCCGGCCUGAGAGGGUGACCGGCCACACUGGGACUGAGACACGGCCCAGACUCCUACGGGAGGCAGCAGUGGGGAAUAUUGCACAAUGGGCGCAAGCCUGAUGCAGCGACGCCGCGUGAGGGAUGACGGCCUUCGGGUUGUAAACCUCUUUCAGUAGGGAAGAAGCGAAAGUGACGGUACCUGCAGAAGAAGCACCGGCUAACUACGUGCCAGCAGCCGCGGUAAUACGUAGGGUGCGAGCGUUAUCCGGAAUUAUUGGGCGUAAAGAGCUCGUAGGCGGUUUGUCGCGUCUGUCGUGAAAGUCCGGGGCUUAACCCCGGAUCUGCGGUGGGUACGGGCAGACUAGAGUGCAGUAGGGGAGACUGGAAUUCCUGGUGUAGCGGUGGAAUGCGCAGAUAUCAGGAGGAACACCGAUGGCGAAGGCAGGUCUCUGGGCUGUAACUGACGCUGAGGAGCGAAAGCAUGGGGAGCGAACAGGAUUAGAUACCCUGGUAGUCCAUGCCGUAAACGUUGGGCACUAGGUGUGGGGACCAUUCCACGGUUUCCGCGCCGCAGCUAACGCAUUAAGUGCCCCGCCUGGGGAGUACGGCCGCAAGGCUAAAACUCAAAGGAAUUGACGGGGGCCCGCACAAGCGGCGGAGCAUGCGGAUUAAUUCGAUGCAACGCGAAGAACCUUACCAAGGCUUGACAUGUUCUCGAUCGCCGUAGAGAUACGGUUUCCCCUUUGGGGCGGGUUCACAGGUGGUGCAUGGUUGUCGUCAGCUCGUGUCGUGAGAUGUUGGGUUAAGUCCCGCAACGAGCGCAACCCUCGUUCCAUGUUGCCAGCACGUCGUGGUGGGGACUCAUGGGAGACUGCCGGGGUCAACUCGGAGGAAGGUGAGGACGACGUCAAAUCAUCAUGCCCCUUAUGUCUUGGGCUUCACGCAUGCUACAAUGGCCGGUACAAUGGGUUGCGAUACUGUGAGGUGGAGCUAAUCCCAAAAAGCCGGUCUCAGUUCGGAUUGGGGUCUGCAACUCGACCCCAUGAAGUCGGAGUCGCUAGUAAUCGCAGAUCAGCAACGCUGCGGUGAAUACGUUCCCGGGCCUUGUACACACCGCCCGUCAAGUCACGAAAGUUGGUAACACCCGAAGCCGGUGGCCUAACCCU
rnacentral:rRNA from 1 species